UGUAGUCUACGGGGGGCAGCAGUGAGGAAUAUUGGUCAAUGGGAGAGAUCCUGAACCAGCCAAGCCGCGUGAAGGAAGAAGGUACUUAGUAUUGUAAACUUCUUUUGUCGGGGAACAAAGGCGGAGACGCGUCUCCGGAUGAGUGUACCCGAAGAAAAAGCAUCGGCUAACUCCGUGCCAGCAGCCGCGGUAAUACGGAGGAUGCGAGCGUUAUCCGGAUUUAUUGGGUUUAAAGGGUGCGCAGGCGGGAGAUCAAGUCAGCGGUAAAAUGUCGGGGCUCAACCCCGGCCGGCCGGUGAAAAUGG
rnacentral:rRNA from 1 species